GGCUCCAGGAGAUUCCAGGAAGCCGGCAGCUCAGGCUCGCACAGAGCCUCCCACGAAGGUGCACACGCAGAGGGAUGGCAUGAGGAAGGCAGAGGACAGGCUCCAUAUCCCGCCUUCUCAAAGUGUGUGAUGGAGAAGAGGCCUGUGUCCAAAACUUCAGACCAUGUCCUGGCCCUCCUUUCCAGAAGUGGAGUGUGAGCAUUCCCUACUCUGAAGCCAGGAAAUGAGGCCAAUGGCUCACCUCAUACUAUUUGUGAAGAUGAGCCUGUGAGCUGGCUGCACACCACAGACCGUGUGGCAACAGUCCCAUAGCAGGAACAUACCAAAAACUGGAGGGGAGGCAGAGGAGGGCAUUGGAAGACGACAAGAAAAUGGGGGAGAGCAGGCGGCUGGGGCUUGAGAAGGCUCUCCAGCACAACUCGACCCACCUCACGUCCACCCAGCUCCAUCAGCAUCUGCAGUUCCCGGACUCAGUAUUUCCACCUGACAAGUGGUGAGUUUUAAAACCACCUAAGUCCACAUACCAUUUAAUAAA